rnacentral:rRNA from 1 species
AACGAACGCUGGCGGCGUGCCUAACACAUGCAAGUCGAACGGGAUUAAGGGGCUUGCUCCUUAAUCUAGUGGCGCACGGGUGAGUAACGCGUGGAUAGUCUACCCGAUGAUCUGGGAUAACAUUUCGAAAGAGGUGCUAAUACCGGAUAAGCCCACGGGGUCUUCGGACUCUGCGGGAAAAGGGGGGGACCUUCGGGCCUUCUGCCAUCGGAUUAGUCCGCGUACCAUUAGCUAGUUGGCGGUGUAAGAGACCACCAAGGCGACGAUGGUUAGCUGGUCUGAGAGGAUGAUCAGCCACACUGGAACUGAGACACGGUCCAGACUCCUACGGGAGGCAGCAGUGGGGAAUUUUGCGCAAUGGGGGAAACCCUGACGCAGCAACGCCGCGUGAGUGAUGAAGGCCUUCGGGUCGUAAAGCUCUGUCAGAGGGAAAGAAAUGUAUUGUGGCUAAUAUCCACGAUGCUUGACGGUACCCUCAAAGGAAGCACCGGCUAACUCCGUGCCAGCCGCCGCGGUAAUAC